GAUGAAGAACGUAGCGAAAUGCGAUAAGUAAUGUGAAUUGCAGAAUUCAGUGAAUCAUCGAAUCUUUGAACGCACAUUGCGCCCGCCAGUAUUCUGGCGGGCAUGCCUGUCCGAGCGUCAUUUCAACCCUCGAACCCCUCCGGGGGGUCGGCGUUGGGGAUCGGCCCUGCCUCUUGGCGGUGGCCGUCUCCGAAAUACAGUGGCGGUCUCGCCGCAGCCUCUCCUGCGCAGUAGUUUGCACACUCGCAUCGGGAGCGCGGCGCGUCCACAGCCGUUAAACACCCAACUUCUGAAAUGUUGACCUCGGAUCAGGUAGGAAUACCCGCUGAACUUAUGCAUAUCAAUAAGCGGAGGA
rnacentral:misc_RNA from 1 species